rnacentral:rRNA from 1 species
GGAGUCUAGCAUGUGCGCGAGUCAUUGGGACUAUCUAAACCUAAAGGCGUAAUGAAAGUGAAGGCCCGCCUUGCGCGGGCCGAGGGAGGAUGGGCCGCGUCACGAUGCGGCCCCGCACUCCCGGGGCGUCUCGUUCUCAUAUUGCGAGAAGAGGCGCACCCAGAGCGUACACGCUGGGACCCGAAAGAUGGUGAACUAUGCCUGGUCAGGACGAAGUCAGGGGAAACCCUGAUGGAGGUCCGUAGCGAUUCUGACGUGCAAAUCGAUCGUCGGAACUGGGUAUAGGGGCGAAAGACUAAUCGAACCAUCUAGUAGCUGGUUCCCUCCGAAGUUUCCCUCAGGAUAGCUGGCGCUCGCUUUGCGAGUCUCAUCCGGUAAAGCGAAUGAUUAGAGGCAUUGGGGUCGAAACGGCCUCAACCUAUUCUCAAACUUUAAAUGGGUGAGAUCUCCGGCUUGCUCGAACUUGAAGCCGCGAGAUUUUACAAGGAUCAGAGUGCCAAGUGGGCCACUUUUGGUAAGCAGAACUGGCGCUGUGGGAUGAACCAAACGCAGAGUUAAAGCGCCUAAAUCGACGCUUAUGGGAUACCAUGAAAGGCGUUGGUAACUUAAGACAGCAGGACGGUGGCCAUGGAAGUC